GAUCAGGCUGCUCUGUCAGAAACGGCCCCUGCCGUGGCCACAGUGGGGUCACCCCGUCACUGUGCUUUGUGAACCCAGCAUCCUGCGCAUCUGGCCGCCAGACCCUCUCCUGCCAAGUGUGCAGAAGGAAAGCAGUGAGCGGCUGCUGUCUUAAUGAGUUCAGCAUAAGAUGCUGCAUUCUCUGAAGCUAUCCAGAUCCUCCUGAAGCCAAAAAUGUUGGGUCAGAAGGCACCGGGACCCAAUUUGGAGCCCGUGUAUCCAGGUCCUGCUUUACAGCUCACUGGCUCCCCGGAACCUCGUUCACCCGGCUGACUUCAUUUUCCUCCUCUGUGACAUGGGAGACGUCACUGCCGUGCCCGUCUCACAGGGUUCUCGCAAAGAUUAAACAAGCGAGAGAGUGUGUGUGUGUGUGUGUAUGUAAUUUGGAGCUGUGUAACAUGUAUAGGUGCCUAUGCACACGUCUGGAUGCUUAUAGUACCAAUAGUUAAUGCAUAAUGUCUGACUUUAAUUUGUAGGGAUGAAUCAUUCUUAUCUCCAUGUCAUUGUUUUAUGUGACAAUAAUGCGAGACAAAGAUGGGGGAGAAAAAUUUGAGUUUAUGAUUUAAAUUCCAGAAAGAUCCUACAUGAAGGGAAGGAGGAGGGCACAGUGAGUAUGUGACAAGGGCUCAGAGAGUUCAGUAUGUGUGGCUCUCAGAUUGUCUCAUGUGUGUUUUGCAAAAUCACAUACUUUGACAGCUAGCUUUUUUUUUUUUUUUUUUUUUUGGUUUUUAGGGCAUAUGGAGAUUCCCAGGCUAGGGGUCCACUCAGAGCUGCAGCUGCCAGCCUACAGCACAGCCACAGCAAUGCCAGAUCUGAGCUGCGUCUGUGACCUACACCACAACUCAAGGAACGCUGGAUCCUUAACCCACUGAGUGAGGCCAGGGAUCAAACCUGCAACCUCAUGUUUCCUAGUCAGGUUCAUUAACCACUGAGCCAUGACGAGGACUCCAUUGACAGCUAGCUUUUUAACA
rnacentral:lncRNA from 1 species